AUACUUACCUGGCAAGGGAGAUACCAUGAUCAAGGUGGUUCACCCAUGGCGAGGCUCAGCCAUUGCACUGAGGCUGUUGCUGACCCGUGCGAAUUCCCCAAAUGUGGGAAUCUCGAUGCAUAAUUUCUGGUAGUGGGGGACUGGUUGGCGCUCUCCCUGA
ensembl:snRNA U1 U1 spliceosomal RNA